CAGCCGCCGCGGGAAUACGUAGGGUGCAAGCGUUAAUCGGAAUUACUGGGCGUAAAGCGUGCGCAGGCGGUUAUAUAAGACAGAUGUGAAAUCCCCGGGCUCAACCUGGGAACUGCAUUUGAAACUGUCAGGCUGGAGUCUUGUAGAGGGGGGUAGAAUUCCAGGUGUAGCGGUGAAAUGCGUAGAGAUCUGGAGGAAUACCGGUGGCGAAGGCGGCCCCCUGGACAAAGACUGACGCUCAGGUGCGAAAGCGUGGGGAGCAAACAGGAUUAGAUACCCGCGUAGUCCCUGUCUCUUAUAC
rnacentral:rRNA from 1 species